GAUGAAGAACGCAGCGAAAUGCGAUAAGUAAUGUGAAUUGCAGAAUUCAGUGAAUCAUCGAAUCUUUGAACGCACCUUGCGCUCCUUGGUAUUCCGAGGAGCAUGCCUGUUUGAGUGUCAUUAAAUCCUCAACCCACCUUCCUUGUGAAUGAGUGAGGUUGGAUGUGGAAGUUUGCUGGCUUUAUCAGUCAGCUCUUCUGAAAUGCAUUAGCAGGGCUGCUGUAUUGCGAUGCUGCCGCUUGGUAUUGAUAGUUGUCUUACCAAGUGUGUCUGAGUUAGCAAUGUGCCCCAGCUUCUAGUCGUCUCUCUGGGACAAAAUUUGACGAUUUGACCUCAAAUCAGGUAGGACUACCCGCUGAACUUAAGCAUAUCAAUAAGCGGAGGA
rnacentral:misc_RNA from 1 species